rnacentral:rRNA from 1 species
GGCUCAGGAUAAACGCUGGCGGCGUGCCUAACACAUGUAAGUCGUACGAAGAGGCCCCCUUCGGGGGGUACUUCAGUGGCGAAUGGGUGAGUAACACGUAGGUGACCUGCCCCGAAGCAGGGGAUAACGGCUCGAAAGGGCCGCUAAUACCCACUAAGGAUCACGUAUCAAAGCGUGCUCAGAGUCUCCCCCUCGGGGGGGGCGUUUCGGGAGGGGCCUGCGGCCCAUCAGCUAGUUGGUAGGGUAAUGGCCUACCAAGGCGAUGACGGGUAGGGGGCCUGAGAGGGUGAUCCCCCACACUGGCACUGACACACGGGCCAGACUCCUACGGGAGGCAGCAGUGAGGAAUAUUGCACAAUGAGCGAAAGCUAGAUGCAGCAACGCCGCGUGGGUGAAGAAGGCCUUCGGGUCGUAAAACCCUUUUUCUGGGGGACGAGAGAGGACGGUACCCCAGGAAUAAGGUUCGGCUAACUACGUGCCAGCAGCCGCGGUAAAACGUAGGAACCGAGCGUUAUCCGGAUUCACUGGGCGUAAAACGCCUGCAGGCGGUUUCGUAAGUUGGACGUGAAAUCUCCCGGCUUAACUGGGAGGCGCCGUCCAAUACUGCGGAACUUGAGGGCAGAAGAGGGAAGUGGAAUUCCCGGUGUAGUGGUGAAAUGCGUAGAUAUCGGGAGGAACACCAGUGGCGAAAGCGACUUCCUGGUCUGCACCUGACGCUAAGAGGCGAAAGCUAGGGGAGCGAACGGGAUUAGAAACCCCGGUAGUCCUAGCCGUAAACGAUGGACGCUAGGUGUAGGUGGUCCUAACCCCAUCUGUGCCGAAGCUAACGCGUUAAGCGUCCCGCCUGGGGACUGCGAUCGCAAGGUUAAAACUCAAAGGAAUUGACGGGGCCCCGCACAAGCAGCGGAGCGUGUGGUUUAAUUCGAUUCUACACGAAGAACCUUACCCGGGUUUGACAUGCAAGUAGUAGUGAAACGAAAGUGGAACGACCCUUCGGGGAGCUUGCACAGGUGCUGCAUGGCUGUCGUCAGCUCGUGCCGUGAGGUGUUGGGUUAAGUCCCCUAACGAGCGCAACCCUCGUCGUCAGUUAUAGGUGUCUGACGGGACUGCCGGUUUAAAACCGGAGGAAGGUGGGGAUGACGUCAAGUCAGCAUUGCCUUUAUGCCCGGGGCUACACACACGCUACAAUGGCCGGUACAAUGGGUUGCCAACCCGCGAGGGGGAGCCAAUCCCGCAAAGCCGGUCUCAGUUCGGAUUGAAGGCUGCAACUCGCCUCCAUGAAGCUGGAGUUGCUAGUAAACGUGCGUCAGCUAUAGCGCGUUGAAUACGUUCCCGGGGCUUGUACACACCGCCCGUCACGUCAUGGAAGCCGGCAACACCUGAAGCCGGCGGGCUAACCCCCCCUUCGGGGGGGGAAGCAGCCGCCGAGGGUGGGGCUGGUGACUGGGACGAAGUCGUAACAAGGUA